UUUUACGGAGAGUUUGAUCCUGGCUCAGGACGAACGCUGGCGGCGUGCUUAACACAUGCAAGUCGAGCGGUAAGGCCUUUCGGGGUACACGAGCGGCGAACGGGUGAGUAACA
rnacentral:rRNA from 1 species